UGCAAUACGUUGAGGAUAUCUCAGUGUAUG
rnacentral:piRNA from 1 species